GCCUUUCUUCAAGGUGUUCAAGAAAACCAACAUCAGCCCCAGUCUCAGGCUCAAACACAGUCUCACCUUAUUCAGCAACAGUUGCAUCACCCUCACUCACUUAAUAGUCAACAGCAACAGCAGCUGCCACAACAGCAGCAAUUGGUUGAACAUCAACAGAUUCCUAAUGUUGUCUCUACAAUAUCUCAAUUUCCUUCAGCCUCUCAAUCCCAGUCACCACCA
rnacentral:misc_RNA from 1 species